CUGGGGCCCUCGGGUGUCGCCCAGUGCGUUGCACUAUUGCCUGGGCAGGCGCACCCCAACCAAAUAUUAAAAUUAAAAUUUGGUCCUCUGGAGGUUGGCAGUAGAGUCCUCAUGAGGGGUUUAGCGGGCGCCUAGAAUCCCAUCUUCAGGUUUUCUUUAACGGGGCCUCCUUUUUGCGUGUUCUAAUUGUGUGGCACGUAGGCCAUUUCUUCUAGUGAUCCUGUGAUGUAGGAGUGGUUACAACAACCUGCUAGUAAUCGCCGGUCAGCCAUACGGCGGUGAAUCCGUUCCCGGGCCUUGUACACACCGCCCGUCACACUAUAGGAGCUGGCCAUGUUUGAAGUCAUUACCCUUAACCGUAAGGAGGGGGAUGCCUAAGGCUAGGCUUGCGACUGG
rnacentral:ncRNA from 1 species